GACUCUCGGCAACGGAUAUCUCGGCUCUCGCAUCGAUGAAGAACGUAGCGAAAUGCGAUACUUGGUGUGAAUUGCAGAAUCCCGUGAACCAUCGAGUCUUUGAACGCAAGUUGCCCGAAGCCGUUAGGCCGAGGGCACGUCUGCCUGGGCGUCA
rfam:Ipomoea nil DNA, scaffold: scaffold0451, cultivar: Tokyo-kokei standard.